rnacentral:snoRNA from 1 species
UAGGAGGAAAAUGAUGAUUCAGCAAAAGUAUAGUUCAUGUGACAGUGGAUUUACUACCCAUUGUAUGAUUGUCUUUCGCCCCUAUCUGAUCAUCCUU